GUGUGGUUUCAUCGUGGUUGCGAUCUCAUUGCGUGUGAUAACCUUCUCCUCACAUUUCGCCGUUUUUCGCGACACGUUGAACCCAGAAACGGACAUCGAGCGCGACGUCGAGUCGAAAAAUAUCCAUCGCCACAGCGUCCAUCGAUCCGCGUGGUCGUCGAUCGUACGCGCGUUUCCCUAAACGCGAUAAAGACUACCACCGUAUUUUCUGUAAAGAGGCAGGAGUCAAUAACCAAAAAGGAAGGAAGGAGCUAGUUUAGAUCGCGUAGAUCGUGAAAAUAGUCGGCACGAGCUGGUGCGAAGAAUUACAAGUUCGCUACAAAACAAGCUAUGGCGGAGAAUGCGCACAAACCCGAGAAGGCAGUACCCUGUUGUUCGGCAAUGGAACAUCCUGAAUUAAUCUCAUUGUCAGAAGA